rnacentral:tRNA from 1 species
GGUCCUGUGGCCGAGAGGCUAGGCAGAGCUCUGCAAAAGCUUCCACAGCGGUUCGAAUCCGCUCGGGACCUC